GACGAACGCUGGCGGCGUGCUUAACACAUGCAAGUCGAGCGGUAAGGCCUCUUCGGGGGUACACGAGCGGCGAACGGGUGAGUAACACGUGGGUGACCUGCCCCGCACUCUGGGAUAAGCCUGGGAAACUGGGUCUAAUACCGGAUAUGACCUCUUGCUGCAUGGUGGGGGGUGGAAAGUUUUUUCGGUGUGGGAUGGGCCCGCGGCCUAUCAGCUUGUUGGUGGGGUGAUGGCCUACCAAGGCGACGACGGGUAGCCGGCCUGAGAGGGCGACCGGUCACACUGGGACUGAGAUACGGCCCAGACUCCUACGGGAGGCAGCAGUGGGGAAUAUUGCGCAAUGGGCGGAAGCCUGACGCAGCGACGCCGCGUGGGGGAUGACGGCCUUCGGGUUGUAAACCUCUUUCGCCAGGGACGAAGCGAGAGUGACGGUACCUGGAUAAGAAGCACCGGCCAACUACGUGCCAGCAGCCGCCGUAAGAC
rnacentral:rRNA from 1 species